rnacentral:misc_RNA from 1 species
CGCAUCGUUUUGGCACCCUCUUUCUUGCUCAACGGACAUAAAAGUCUGGAGCAACGCGCGCAAGAGCCGCGCUCCAUUUCGAGGGGCGCGCUACUUGAAGUAGCGCGAAAGUCGAUCGAGAUCGAGCGCGAGCAUGCGCGAAUCGCGCGGCGGCGCUGCGCUCCGAUGCAGCAAUGGAGUCGGUGUUGAUGUUUCCCAGCGAUUGAUAAUCGCGGCAGACCGGACUCGGCGUGGAGAUUCGCAAUGUCGGAUUAAUCGAGGUGAUCAAGUUACCUGGUCGAAGGAUGCUCGUCAGAGGCAGCACGAGGACACCCUAUACGCAUGGUUGAGCUUCGACGAAGUGGCGAGUUAUGAAGAAGAUGCACGAUUGAAAACCGAAGACUUGGACGAGGAGGACGAGAAGGAGCGCGAGGAGUGUUCAGGCAUGUCUACGGCAUCGGCCAAUAAAUUGCAGAUCCUGUGGGACCAUUUCAUUCACGCCGAGCCGCAGAGUUACGAGAAAUCAUCUUGGCUUGAUAUUUUUCUGGCGGAGUUGCUCGCGCAGAUUAAGGAAGGCAAAGACGUAAAAGAUGCCCUCUCUUUUUGUUCGGUCGGCGGCGGCGGCGUGUCAACCCUCGUCGCCUGCGAGUUGCUCUCGGACGUGCACGAGUUGUGUGGGAAGAGAAACAACGGUGACGAACUGGUUGGUCUGCGUAAGUACUUGGUCCAAGAUCGCGGUUGGCGUUGUCUGGCAGCAUUACACUUGUUGGGUGUGCGCGGUUUGUCUUGCGGUCGCGAGUUGGUCGCGCUGUUGGUCGCCCUAUAUCCCGUCGCGCUGCAAGAAAGAGCCAAUUCGGCCGCCGCGUCGAAAAAAUGCGACGACGGCGAGCUCGUCGCCCGAGCUUCGUCGCGCAACCAGUACGUGAGAUUUCACUGCAACGAUGAUACUGUUGACACGGUGGAUAUCGUACUGCACGCGAGGCGCAAAAGCGCAAAGGGCACCGGCAGUAAGGCUUUGUCUCACGAGGACGACGCACCGUCUCGCAGGAGAUUCUCCCGUAGACACGUCGUCGGCGCGACGAAAAUCCAACAGUCCACCAGUCACAAGCAGAGGAGCUCAUCGUUGAUGCUGGAGGCGCGACGCAGCACGCCGAUGGACGUGACGAGCAGCGAGUCCGAGCAACUAACGGACGCGAUCGAUCAGGCGCGUUCUCUCACUUUAAAAAUUCGCUUGAACCCGAUGGACUUCGAGUACUUCACGUCGAUCGUCCGGAGCGAUGAGGAACAGAAGUGGCAAGCCGAGCUGUACGAGCUGCCGCAGCGGCCUGUGAGGAAGACGCAACGUGAUUACAUCGACGAGAGGAUCCAAGACGUGCUGGACGCUAACAUUAGCAACUUCGAGAUCAGUUUGCUGAUUAUCCAACUGCUGCAAGGUUUACGUGAUUACGAUACACCCGCCGAGCAAACACCGGCCGUGCAGGUUCUUAAGUUCGCUCUGGACACGUUGUGGUCGCUGCAGUUUGGCAUAGACGGCAACAACCUCAGCGUCACAGAACGUGCCACUUUAAAAGCAGCGGCCGCCAGGCUGAUGCUGACAGCUCUGGAACGCGCCUUAAGGGCUGACGAACCCACCACGGCCGUCAUUCACAAUGGUCUACUGCCGAUGACUCUGAGGCUGUUGGAGGACGCCUGCAGUAAGCCGGUGGACGUGUUGGAGCCGGAGGAAGGUUCGCUACUGCAGGAAUUCAUUUUUGCUACCAUUUACGGGAUCGUCACGUUUCUCUACUGCUUAUUGCAUCAACGCGGCAGCAACGUCGACAAACUGUCGGACUUCCUCGAAUUAUUCCGGCUGUUCGUUGAGAGCCAGGAUGGCAAGCUGGUGGAGAGAACAGUGUUCGCGAUCGUCGAUCUGCCCAGCAUCGAUCCGGCCAAAUCAAUAGUUCGCGCCAAGAAGAUAAUCGAUAUGAUAGGCGCGCUAACCAGCAGCCUGAAACGCAUCCGCCGUGAUCUCUCGCACGUCACGCAGUGCCACAGAACGAAGCACAGAUCCUGCAUCGACAGCGUUCAAAGUCAUCAUCACUCGGACGUGCUUGGAACGCCGUACUCUCGACCGAUUCUCGGCAUCGUCGACAAGCAGGUUGACAAGCAAGUGUGCUGCAUCUCCUCCCUAUUCGCGACGCUCACAAAUCUGCUGAAGGAGUCUCACUUAUUCGUGAGCGAGUUGCGAGUGCGGCUGAUCAAGAUCACCACCGCCGCGGGCACGUGCUGCUGCUUCCCACCAAGAAUGCUCGUCUCGAGCAUCGUGGCUUUUCUCAGGAAACGCGACUCCUCUACCUAUGCAUCGGCAGUGGCAUUCCUGGAGCGCACUCUUUUCAAAGAGUUAGGCGCUUACCCGGCAACGGUAAACGCGUGCAACAUCUGCGACAGACCGGCGAAUUAUUCGUGGGACUUCCUGGAGGUGUAUGCCGAUCUUCUGUGCCCGAGCGAUCCGAAACUCUGCUACGUUGUGAUGGCACAUCUGCUGAAGGUUACACCUGGUUCCCGCUUUCACGUCAGGGAGCAGCUUCUGCUGAGAGUCUUCUACCCGACGUUUUUGCGCGCCAAGGUGUGUUAUGCAAGCGAUAGCAGCAACGCGACGGCCAAGUUUCUCAUACAGUCCUGCAUGUCCGUUAUGUCGUGCUUGAUCGUGAACGCGCAAAUGUGCGAGAAAUUCAUGGAGAUAAACGCUUUGCGUGAGAUACUGCCUCUGAUGGUGGACACGGCGUUCACGAGGAGCGUCUACGCGCUAUUGGAAGUCACCGUGACGAUAGAGAUUUGGAAACUAUGCUGCGAGGAGUCCAGUGAUCCGAAGAGCGUCGAGGCGCCGGCAACGGAAUCUCUUUUCGAGUCGCUCGACAGAGAAACGGACGAAUUGCUGAAGAAUUUGCGGUAUCUCGAGAAACCAGAAAUGGAAGAAGAAAAAGCCGACCAGCAAAGCGAGAAGGAUACAUCCGACACUCAUUCUGGCAUCCAGAAAGUCGACUUGUCUCCUGCUGAAGAUAUAAGAACUGAAACUGAUGAGGCGACGACAGAGAGCCUCGAUGCUGAACCAAAACUGCCUGAAAGUGAUAUUCAUCAUGAACAAUUAGAGAACAAGACUGAUACGAUAGAUACUAUAGUUUCUGAUCCGUUUGAGAAGCUUGAUACUCUUGCGGAGCAAGUCAUUGGAGUGUGCAAAGACGCGGACGCGUCACCUAGAAGGACCAGCCUGCAUCAGGCUAGUUCAGCUUGGAGGGCUGCCGCGGGCGUAGCGCUGUACAGCCCGAAAUUCCGCGUUGAACUGUCCGCGCAUCCAGUGUCGAAAAAAUCGUUGUGUUUGUUCAAAUUGUUAACUAUAGGCAUCGCUACGGACAGUAUUGAAGAUACCAGUAAAUCGGCGCAUAAGCUCUUCGAGGCCCUGAUUACGUGUUGUCUGACAUCCCCACUGUAUGAUUGCGACAUAGUCAUGGAAUUAGGGAAGACGCUGAUGGAAACCGGCGUAACGCUCGGCCGUGGACUAGCUGUGAUAGUGGACGCGAUGUUGAAGGUCUCCAUGCUGAAGCCAGCACAGGAAAAUUGCGUGCCGCAACAACCGCGUCCCAGAUUACCAACCAUGAUGUUGGAGACUCUACCGGAUUGCGGCGCGGAGGACAGUAGUACUGGAGAAUAUAUAACCGCUGAUGAUGGGUACGAAGCAGACAUCGAGGUACCUGGAAGGUGUUCCAACAACACCAUCUCCAAGAAAAACAGUCCUCUUGGACCUGUGGUAGAGCCAAGAGGUCACGCUAACGCGCAUCCCGCUUUAUGUUCAUUGGCGAUAGAUCUCUUAAUUCACUUCAGUGAGCAGGGUUUAGACUUGGAAAGAGGCUCGAUAAUAACUGGUGGAUUGAGAAGGGUUGCUGUUACUUGCCGGGAAAGUGCUUCAAGCUGUGCCGCCCUCGCCGCCUCAGGAACCAUCACGAAGAUAUUGAACGGUUUUAAAAACGUAUUUACCAAUAACGAUCCACGAUAUCGAGAUUUGCAGCAUGCGGCGUUGGAGGUCUUCACGUUGUUGGCAACACAGUCGAUCUCAUCCACGGAGCUAGUCACGUAUCUGUCCUUCUUUAAAGUGGAAAAGCCACCGAUGCUGCCGUUGCUGGAACCGUUGUAUCACUUGGUGCUGGCGGCGCGACCCCAACCAAACUUCAUCUUGUCGUUCCCCGUGCAGUGCGACGUGAAGGCACAGUCGGGGUCGAAAUUCCAGAUGGAGGAACACAAGAAUCUGGAGAAAGCCGAGAAUCUCGUGAACAAUUUCAAGAAGAAACAUCUCGCCGCGGGAAUUUGCAGUCCGUGGUCCGUGCACGCGGCAUGCUUGCCCAUUGGUUCGGAAUUAGCAUGGCCGGUAUGGUUGCACGGGUGUUCCGCCUCCAUGUGGCUGAGGGUGGAAAGAGGAUCGCCAAUCGGCGGUCGUGCGACAGCUUACGGUACCUCACCGCUGUUGGAUUCGGACAGCGAGAGUCUGUCCGACUGGGGUAUUCUUUCGGAUAAUUGGAGUCGGGAAGAUCAAUCCGUGUCUGAUCUUUUCUCGGAAUCGUCAGUCGUAGCAGGAUCCGUCUCGCCACCCACACCAACGUCGAUAAUACAUCUGCUGUCCAUCGGAUUCGAAUCGUUAGUCUUGGAAAUGUGGUUGGAUCUCAGAUCAGACAAAUUAAUUUUACGACUCACUCGUCCGGAUGAUAAGAUAAACCGAACGAUUUCUGAGACUUCGAUCAACGGCAUGCUACCUUCCGGGCGUUGGCAUCACUUGAGCUUAAAUUUUAAGGAUACCGUAUUGAAUAAGCACAGCGCUGUGGUUGAAGUCACGCUCUGGGUGGACGGUUGGAGAGAGAUCAAUGCUCGAUUACCGUUUGACGGCUUACUGGUGAGAAAGCCUGGUACUACGUGUAUUUUGCUAGGUCAAAUCGGAUCGAGCAAUGUUGGCGCAUGGUAUCUUGGAAAUUUAAUGCUCUUUAGGUGUCCGGUAUUCACGAAAGAGCGUGCAUUGUAUCUCACAAGUCUCGGACCAAAUUACACUAACUUGGCGGAUUGUAUCUUAAGCACAGUGAAACCUGACUUUGCACCUCUAAUCGCGUCCGGCGCACUAAAUGGCGUUUGCGAAGUGAAAUAUGAAGGAGGUAAGUUUGAUUUAAACCGACGAAAGUCCUACGGUGGUACUUAUUUGAGGCACGCCGUCGAGAAGGUAGUGCCAGAAACGAAAAUCGACUGGGAAACCGUUAUGGAUGCGACGAACUCGCAUCUCGGCGAGCUACAAGACAAUCUGCUCCUCUGUUACGAAGCUCAGAAUCCCAAUGUCGUGCACUUGUAUCCUCAGGCGAUCGCCAAUCCUGCUGCCGUUGUCAGAAAUAUCUUUCCGGGCCAACCAGGCUUCAGAGUAAUUUCGGCUCCGGAGCACAGGGUAUCGCAGCAGCCGCCUCUAUCGAUAUCGCCGAUUCUGUAUACUCGUUUAGAGAGCCAGCAGUAUCGCGGACUCGUACCCGCCGCGAUCUUAGUGGGCGGUGUACCAGUGUUUCUAUAUCUUUUCGCGAGGGUGGUUGAACUGAACUCCACCGAGGAAGAGCAGGCCUUGGCUCUGUCCACAGUCCUGCAUCUCGUUCGUAGUGACUCAGAACUCUUGAACCAAUACCGAUCGAAUGGCGGGACAUCACUGGUUCUGCGCGUACUUGAGUCCUCGAGAUGCUACGCGGGCAGGCACAUUCUGAAGGCGAUACUGGACGCGGCGUGCGACAGCUCGGCCAUCAUCAAAGACAUCGGCAGUGGUAAUCACUCGAUUUUCCAAAAUUGCGAGGCUGUUAUCACGGAUCCGGAAUUGAUAAAGGGUGCGCUUACCGCGUGGAGAGCCUGGGCGAAAUACGACACGUUGAACUUGCUGCUGCAAGCACUGCUGCUUCUACUGCGAGACCAACAUUCGCAGCGCGAGUUCAAUGCGUCACAGUUAAACAGGGUUGGCAUCGUAGAUGCGAUACUUACUAUGUGUAAGGAACAUUUUAUGUAUGAAAUAAAUGAUGAAAUGAGCGCCGCAUUAGACUCGAAUAUCGGAAUUACCAUUGUGGAACUGAUACGCGCCUUAAUGGGCGCACCGCCGGAGUUCGCUCACUUGGUCGCCAUCACCGACUACCUCGUCCUUGUUCACCAAGCCUCGGAAACUUACGUCACCCAUUCGCGACACAAUAUCUACUUUAUGUUGCCGCAAUUCAGGGAAAAGGGGACUAACUUGAAAACGAAUAGUAACGGGACUUCCUCCGACGACUCGAUAAACGUGGUAGAAAAUAGCAAGCUGAACAAGGCAUUGAUGAACGAACAGAUCCAGAAAACUCGAAGUCCCAAAAAGAAGGAUCGUAAGGAUCGUGCGCAGUCGAAGGAUAAUGCUAGUGCCGGGGACGAUUCCGGAAUCGCAGGAAGUGACGGGUCCAAUCCUCAGAGCAACGAAAGGCAAUCAACGUAUGCAGAUGAGAGAAGAGUCUGCCAAGGCUCGGUUUGUGAAGGACUAUUGUUGGUAUUGAGAGACGCUGUAAGAGUACUGCCAGACAGCCAAGUUGGGUCAGUGCUGAAGCACGUUUUACGGGCCGAACUAUUACUAGUUCUGGCCAACGAUCCCGAUGCCAGAGUUCGCACAGCAUUGAUCAAGGUGGUACAAACGUAUCUCCAACGUGCUAGCGACGAGGAAGUUAACAGGUUUAUAAAACAAAAGUAUUUCAUGCAUCUAGGAAAUCAGAUAGCAUUGUAUCCUGGCAGUGAACAGCUGGUUGUCGCUUUAGAAAACUUAGCUCUACGCGGACCGACACUGGCGGCAAUGCCGCCCUUAAUGGCGAUGAUCGCAAAGGCCGAAGGUUCGGAUGCGAACAUAGCAAGGCCGAUAAUAUCGUUUAUAACCGAUAUAAUAGCAAAGAACAUAAAUACGCUGAGAGUGCUUCUGGAGCAAGGCUUGAUCGAAUCGUUGGCGCAAGCUCUGGUCGGGGCGGCGUAUAAGGGUAAUUCGAUGUCCCUCCAUCGAGACAUUCACGUGCUGUUUGUGGCAAUCGCGAGCAAGUUGCUGGAACUACCAGGCAGUCAUCAGAUGCAAGCGGUGUUGGAUCUGCACGUGAUACUCGACUACGUCGAGCUUUCGGAGAAGCUACGAUGCCGCGCGAGCUCGAUUUGCACGGCUAUAAGGGACGCGCAGGUUGCAUUGUUCGAUGGCGAGCUGGACAUACUCACGACCAAGAUGUCGAACCAUUCGGGAUUCCGUCUGCGUAGCACGGCUUCUUACCUAGCUUCAGCAUCUUACUUGACUUCAAUUCUUACAACAUCCAGCGAGCAAAGCGACGGUUCUCGUUCGUCCAGCUACACGAGUUUACACGCGAGCUCCCCCCAAACGCUGCGGGAACCCGGCAAAGGAGAGCUGAACGAUCGUUUUCGCAUCAUCGUGACGCGCGCAGUCGAAUUUAUAACUACGGCGGACGCGUCGCCGUCUACCAACGAAUUGCAGCUGACAAGGAGACUGUUUUCUAUUCUUCUCCACGGUUUAUGCAGCCCGCUAGAGAAGAAACAUCACUGGGGUAGCACGUGGUCCGUCAGACCGGCUUUGAGAAAGUACACGGCCAGGAUCAUGGUGUGGCUGUUGGAACCACAUCAAAGUAUCAACACGAGAGUGUACGCCGUUAGAUCUCUAAUGGAGGAGCCGAAAGCUCGCGAAAUCCUAUCGUGCAUCCUGGAAGUCCACCCGCAGAUGGAGCAGAAAUUCACCGUAUUCUUCUGGGACUUGCUGCAAAAACGGGACGAAAUGCCGAGUGCCGAUGCCCGAGUAUGCGCCGAGCUGAGAGAAGCUCUGCGCGUGUGGGACCUCGCCAAAGGAAUUGAGCAAGCUAGUCCCGAAGUGUGGAAUGACGAGUUGGCUUUAUUACGUCGAGACUUGUUUCUGGAUCGAGACAUUUGCAUUGACAAUCAUCCAGCGAUAUUGAGAAUCGGCAAGAGAUUCGAUGCGUUGGCAAAACAGUUAACCGAGAGCGCCAUGACUAUAACGCGUUCAGUCGUGGAAGAACAAAACCGAGAGCGCAAAGUGUUAAUGGAACAGUUGAAACACACGCGGGCGUUGGAGGCUCAGGCGGUGGCCAGAUGGAGGGAUAUAGCAAAGCGAUUAACGCACGAACGGGCACCCUGGCACUUUCCCGAGAGUUAUCCGAGAAGUUGGGAAUUGGAUCCCACCGAAGGCCCUGCGAGAGUCAGAAUAAGACUUCAGAGAUGCCACUUGAACAUCGACGAAAGAUUCUUGUUGCCUGAACAUCAAGACAGCUUAGUUUCAUCCAGCAUCGAAGCACCAUUAUCAUACUUGUUUACGAGCGCUCGUGAGGACGCGAAUACCGCGGCGUUAAUUGAACGAUUGCACACGAGUGAGAAGAUACGCAAGAUGUCGCAGGCAAGGGUUGUCACACCCAGAGCCGAAUUAGCCGGCGAAGUCCUUAUCGGCGAGACAUGCGUAUAUUUCGUUCCGGACAAUCCCGAUAUGCCGUUGCACACAGACCACUGGGUGGUUUCGACUUGGCUGUGGCUGGCGGUACUGCUUGGCGUCUCGAGGAUAUUCGCGAAUUGCACAGGAGAAGGUACCAGCUGCAAGAGAGAGCCAUCGAGAUCUUUCUCAUCACUGGCAGAACGUAUUUGCUGGCAUUCAACUCGUCCAAGGAGAGGGACGAAUUCGCAACGGAACUGUCCGCUUGCAACCUACCCAGGCGAGUCCCCGGUGACGACUUGGGAGAAGCUCUGGCCUUAUGGAGGAGCGGUGCACUCACCAAUUGGGAAUACAUAACUCGUCUGAAUAAACUGGCUGGCCGUUCGUACAACGACUUGAUGCAGUAUCCUGUGUUUCCGUUUGUUCUCGCGGAUUACGUCAGCGAGAAGAUCGACUUGAACAACCCGAAAAUUUAUCGGAAUUUCAAACGACCGAUGGCUG